rnacentral:rRNA from 1 species
UACGAAGGGGGCAAGCGUUGUUCGGAAUUACUGGGCGUAAAGGGCGCGUAGGCGGCUUACCAAGUCAGGCGUGAAAUUCCCGGGCUCAACCUGGGGGCUGCGCUUGAUACUGGUGAGCUUGAAUGCGGGAGAGGAUAGUGGAAUUCCCAGUGUAGAGGUGAAAUUCGUAGAUAUUGGGAAGAACACCGGUGGCGAAGGCGGCUAUCUGGCCCGUAAUUGACGCUGAGGCGCGAAAAGCGUGGGGAGCAAACAGG